CGCGGGAUGGAGCAGCUCGGUAGCUCGUCGGGCUCAUAACCCGAAGGUGUCGCAGGUUCGAAUCCUGUCUUCCCGA
rnacentral:tRNA from 1 species